rnacentral:rRNA from 1 species
UGGGGGAUAUUGCACAAUGGGCGAAAGCCUGAUGCAGCGGCGCCGCGUGGGGGAUGAAGGCUUUCGGGUUGUAAACCUCUUUCGCUAUCGAACAAGGCCCGCUUAGGGUGGGUUGAGGGUAGGUGGAGAAGAAGCGCCGGCUAACUACGUGCCAGCAGCCGCGGUAAUACGUAGGGCGCGAGCGUUGUCCGGAAUUAUUGGGCGUAAAGGGCUUGUAGGCGGCUUGUUGCGCCUGCUGUGAAAACGCGGGGCUUAACUUCGCGCGUGCAGUGGGUACGGGCAGGCUUGAGUAUGGUAGGGGUGACUGGAAUUCCAGGUGUAGCGGUGGAAUGCGCAGAUAUCUGGAGGAACACCGAUGGCGAAGGCAGGUCACUGGGCCAUUACUGACGCUGAGGAGCGAAAGCAUGGGUAGCGAACAGG